rnacentral:rRNA from 1 species
AUAGAGACUCAGAGCUGCAUAUCAAUAAGCGGAGGAAAAGAAACUAACUAGGAUUCCCUCAGUAACGGCGAGUGAAGCGGGAAGAGCUCAAAUUUGAAAUCUUCAAGGUUUACCUUGACGAAUUGUAGUUUAAAGAAGUGUUUUCUGUUGGAGUUUUGGUAAAAGUUCUUUGGAAAAGGACAUCAUAGAGGGUGAGAAUCCCGUAUUUGGUUAUUCAUUCUAGCCUUGUGAUACACUUUCAAAGAGUCGGAUUGUUUGGGAAUGCAGACCAAAAUGGGUGGUAAAUUUCAUCUAAAGCUAAAUAUUGGCGAGAGACCGAUAGCGAACAAGUACCGUGAGGGAAAGAUGAAAAGAACUUUGAAAAGAGAGUUAAACAGUACGUGAAAUUGUCAAAAGGGAAGCGUUUGACACCAGUGUUGUUUUUCCGAAAAUCAAUUACGAAUGGCUUGAUUUUGUGUUGUAUUGACCUUAUCAGCUUUCUGCACUUUUUUCGAGUCUUUCUUAAUGCACUUUUUGGUUAACAAGUCAACAUCAAUUUCUUUUGCUGUAAAAGAGUAUUCGGAAGGUGGCUUUCUUUUCGGAGAAAGUGUUUAUAGCCCUAUACUCCUGCAAUCGGAGAGACUGAGGUCUGCAGCGUAGAUCCUUCGGGGUUAGAUACAUUUGUGCUAAGUUAUAGCUUUUUAUAGACAACUUGUUGACUAUGUUUAGUCUUGUAGCUUACUCGCUGACGCUAUUUUACCUACGCUUAGGAUGUUGACGAUCAGCUGAGCGCG